UACGGAGGGUGCAAGCGUUAUCCGGAUUCACUGGGUUUAAAGGGUGCGUAGGCGGCUUAUUAAGUCAGUGGUGAAAUACUCUAGCUCAACUAGAGGGGUGCCAUUGAUACUGAUGAGCUUGAGUACAGAUGAGGUAGGCGGAAUUGACGGUGUAGCGGUGAAAUGCUUAGAUAUCGAUCAAGAACACCUAUAGCGAAGGCAGCUUACUAGGCUGAUAACUGACGCUGAGGCACGAAAGUGUGGGGAUCAAACAGG
rnacentral:rRNA from 1 species